rnacentral:rRNA from 1 species
GAUGAACGCUGGCGGCGUGCCUAAUACAUGCAAGUAGAACGCUGAAGGAGGAGCUUGCUCUUCUGGAUGAGUUGCGAACGGGUGAGUAACGCGUAGGUAACCUGCCUGGUAGCGGGGGAUAACUAUUGGAAACGAUAGCUAAUACCGCAUGACAACAGUUAUUGCAUGAUAACUGUUUAAAAGGGGCAACUGCUCCACUACCAGAUGGACCUGCGUUGUAUUAGCUAGUUGGUGAGGUAACGGCUCACCAAGGCGACGAUACAUAGCCGACCUGAGAGGGUGAUCGGCCACACUGGGACUGAGACACGGCCCAGACUCCUACGGGAGGCAGCAGUAGGGAAUCUUCGGCAAUGGACGGAAGUCUGACCGAGCAACGCCGCGUGAGUGAAGAAGGUUGUCGGAUCGUAAAGCUCUGUUGCAAGAGAAGAACGAGUGUGAGAGUGGAAAGUUCACACUGUGACGGUAUCUUACCAGAAAGGGACGGCUAACUACGUG